GUGAAAUCGCCUUUUCUGAAGAGAAAUAAAUAUCCUGCAGGAGGGUUUGUCUCCAGGGGCUGGCCAUAUGGGUUAUGCUUUGAUAAGGCAAAGACAAGAAAUAAAAGACAUUAUAUUGGAGAAGUAAAAUUUGCAGAUGACAUGAUCACCAACAUAAAAAAAUCUGAUGGAAGCUUCCAAAAAAGCUGCUAGAACUGGUAACCAUCUUUCUGCCACCACAAGGUUUCCCUUUCUCUCAGUAUCAAACGACAUUUUCUUCAAGUUCUCACUGACAUCCUCCUCAAAGCUCUAUAGGCUUUUAGUAUCUCCAAGGCCCUGGGAAGAUCCCAUAUGUGUUUUUGGGCUCAGAUUCUCUUGUGCACCUGAGGUCAAGAGGAGCUAGAGCUGGGCCAGCAGGGGACAUUUCUCUCCUCAUCAUGGAGUCCCAGGGCCUCUCCAUGUGGUCUCUCCACAUAGGCUGGUUGGGACUUCCUCCCUGCAUGGCUAUCUUAGAGCAGCCAGACUGCUUGAGAAGCUGAAAGUUCAAGCGUGAGUGUUCCACCUCCCAAGGAAGAAGCUACACUAUCUUUUAUGAUCUUGGAAAUGACCUGUGGAUAGAAGUCACUUUACCAUGGUAUAUGGACCCAAACUAUCACAAGCUCCCCCAAAAUUCAAGGGGAGAAGACUGACUCCACCUCUUGAUGGGGCAGUGUUGAGCUUCUAGAAGACAUCUGGCAAUAAGACAUAUUUUUGUGGCCGUCUUUGCAAAAUACAAUCUGACAUAAUAAGGAAACCCCUCAUUGAUGAAAAUUUCUGUGUGCCAAAUUAAAAAAAAAAAAAACCUCUCAUACCUGAUAAUUAUUUAAUGCAUUUCCUCAUUUUGUCUUUCUUGAGACUUCCUUUGGGGAUUCAGGUAUCAAAACCAGUGGGAUGUUGGAAGUAGCUUACACGAGCUCCUAAAAGCCAAUUGUAAAAUUUUCAGGAAUUCUGCAUGCUGGUUGUUAA
ensembl:lncRNA